GUCACUUAUUUCACUCUAAAAAGCUCCUAAAUUGUACCAGAAAUUACAAUAUUGCCACUGGUUUGCCUAGAUUGAAACAUUUGUCAUUCUUGUAGGCCCUAAGCAAUCCGAUUUCAGCCUUUAGAACCCGGAUCCGCAUCACCUCUCUUCUGCUCUGGUGGACUGUUGCACAAAAAGGCCAGAGUAUAGCUACUUUUAGCAGCCAUAGGUCAUUAGUACAUUAGUUCUCUGUUCCUCUUUCGUUCGCCUUCGCGUUAUCUAAUAUAUCAGCUAUUUUCUCUUUAGUAGUAAGUCCUUUACCUCUUGUUAGCAACUCAGAAGAGGCACAAUCACUUGCAGAUGCAUAUGAAGUUCCUGGUCAGUGGCAUGGUUUUCCACUAAUGUCCGCCUUGUGACAUACAUCAAACUUAGAUAAUGAAUUCUCUCUUUCUUGCCAUUUUCGAUUGAUCUCAAUGAUCUUCAAACAAAUUUUGUUCUUUGAGGUUGAAAUUCUCUUAUAUUUAUUUGUAGGUUUGCUCAGACAUAAAUAAGCCAAAUGGACAGUUUGUUCUACCAGAUGACCGGAUGGCUGUCAUGACGUUUAUAUCAUCACUCCCUAUACGUAAGAUUGGGGGCAUUGGUAAGGUCACAGAACAUAUUCUAAGGGAUGUUCUUGGAAUUCGUACGUGUGAGGAGAUGCUGCAAAAGAGUGCUUUUCUCUGUGCACUAUUUUCUGAUUCUUCAAUAGGUUUGUGCGCUGAUAACCCUUUCCUAUCAUUUCCUAUCUGUACUGAAAAUGAGCCCCCCUUUGAAUUUGUUUUGGCAUGUAGAAAGAUUGUGGUUGUUCCCCUGUUUGUAUAUAAAGCUGGUAAUGAUAUCGAGUCGAUGAAUGUAUGAAACUAUACUCGUUUGAGUUUAUUGCCUUGAAUUUUAUUUAUUUGUCAUCAAUCAUCAUCCCCACUGUAAUUAUUUAAGCAUAAUUUAUUGGUUUUAUUAAACACAAUGUUAUUAUUUCGAAUGUAAACAAAAUAAAAAAUCCUACUUUUCUUGUC